rnacentral:guide_RNA from 1 species
AUAACAAAAGCAGUUAAAGCUAGAAUGUGAUUUAAU